AGCUGGCACUCUGUUUCUCUCUCUCUCUCCUCUCAAAAAUAAACAUUAAAAAAAAAAAAAAAAAAAGAAUGAUUAUCAAUUCCUAUUCUCCCCUUUGGUGGUCAAAAGAUCUUCAGAUUCCAAACAGAUUUCUCCCCGUGCAGUCAAAUGCAGACAUCAAUCACCAUUUUUCUAUUCUUACAAUAGUUAAAAUACUUAACUGACAUAUCUAAAAAUAUUUAAACUUAAUUUUAACUUUGUCAUUCAUGUGGGAAAUUUGUGAAAAAUAGAAGAGUGACAGAAAUUUAGAUUAACCAGUCAAUAAGUAAAUUUUCUCUCAGUUGAGUGUUGCCAAUGACUUUGUUCUCCCAGGACUUCAUUUGGUAACUUACUUAAAGGACAUAAGUAAAUGAAAUGUGUGAUACUAGUCUGAUACUGGUUUGGACAAAUCAGUUGCAAAUAAAACUCUGGGACUAACUGGCUCAUGAGAUGAGAUGAAAAUUUAUUGAACUGUAGAGGGAGUCGGCUAGGAAAAAAAGCAAGUUAACAUUAAGUUUUCAUACAAAGGCAAGCUCUAAGUGGUAGGAAUUAACUUUUGCUUAAUAUUUAAAUAAAAUAUAAAGUGUAUAUAAUUUUCAACAGUGUACUUGGACUGCUUCUGUAAUAAUAUUUUUUAAGGAGGGGAACAGAAGGAAAUGAAACAGAAGGAAAGAGGAAAUAAAGGGGAAGAAAACAAAGAAGAAGGAUAGAGGAGGAAAAGCAGGGGAAGGAAAAGGAAAAGGGGAAGGGAAAGAAAGGGAAGGGAAAUGAAGGAAAGUAGGACAUACAUGGCUUCAGAAUUAGACCUGGGUUCAAUUCUUGACUGUACUAUUUAAGAGAUGUGUGACUAUGGGCAAGUUACUUCAAUUCUUUAAACCUCAGUUUCUAGAGAAUAUCACCUGUGUUAUAAAAAUGUUUAUAGGUGAGCCUCAGUGGCUCAAGUCAGUUAAACAUCUGACUCUUGAUAUCGGCUCAUGAGAUCAGGUCAUGAUCUCAUGGCUCCUGGGAUCGAGCCCCCAAGUUGGGGGCUCUGUGCUGACAGCGCAGAACCUGCUCAGGAUUCUCUCUCACCUCUCUCUGCCCCUUCCCUGGCUCACGCACUCCUGCGCGCGUGCGUUCUCUCUCUCUCUCUCUCUCUCAAAAUAACUUUUUUUUUUUUAAAUGUUUAAAAUGUUUAUAAGGAUUCAGGAUGCCUGGGUGGCUCAGUCAGUUGAACACCUGACUUCAGCUCAGGUCACGAUCUCAUGGUUCGUGAGUUCAAGCCCAGAGCCCUGCUUCGGUGAACACAAGCCCCAAUUAGGGUGAGCCCUGCUUCUCUCUGUCCCUCGUGGGAUUCUCAUUCAUUCAUUCUCUCUCUCUCUCUCUCUCUCUCUCCCCCCCCCACCCCGUUUUUUGCUCACUUGCACACUCUCUCUCAAAAAAAAAAAAAAUACAUUUAUAAGGAUUCAAGGAAAUAAUAAGGUACCUAAUAUACACUAACACACUAAGAAUUCAUUAAAUAUUAGUCAUCUUGGAGCACCUGGGUGGCUCAGUUGGCUAAGCAACUGACUUUGGCUCAGGUCAUGAUCUCAUGGUUCGUGAGUUUGAGCCCCACACUGGGUUCUGUGCUGACAGCUCAGAGCCUGCCUCGGAUCCUCUGCCCCCCUCUUUCUGCCCCUCCACUGCUUAUGCUCUGUCCCUCUCAAAAAUAAACAUUAAAAAAGAAUAUAUAUUAAUCAUCUUUAUCCACUUCCUUCUCCAUAACUAACAGAAAGUAGGAAAACACAUCUGGCCUCCUGUCCUGAGUGCUUCUGGAAAGUGCAGAGUGGAAGAGAAGUGAGAGCAUCUCUGUCUCCACAGGGUCUUUGGCAAUCCACAUGAGCAGAAAUGGUGAAUAAAAAUGGUACUUACUCUAGACAAAUUAUGUAUUUUUAUGUAGUUUAAAAAGUCAUAAUUCAGUAUUGGUUUAAUCAAAUCAUCCAAGUCACAGGCAUGAUUUUUUGGCCACAAAUCAUUUCACAAAAUCCCUAACUCUGCUGUUGACUAUUCUGAAAGUCAAAAUAGUUGACUAUUUUAAAGUGUCAGUCAACAUCCAAGGCUGACUCUUCCAAAAACCUCCUCCUUGUCAGUAUGAGGCUUUUUAUUCUGUGAAAUAAAAUUCCCAUACUUUUAAAGUCACUUAAAAGUCAAGAGGUCAAUAAACUAUUCCCCCAUAUAAUUCCCUACUACAUACUCCAGAUGAUAGAUGCACAGAAAUAGAAUGUUGCUAUAGUAUGAAGAGAAAAAAAGGGGAUCAGAGUGUAAGUACCUUAAAAGUAUUCCAGAAAAUCUGCUUGCCGACAAUAAAAUCCCCACAGUAAAACAACAGAGGGAGACAGCAGAACUCACUUCAAAUGCUCAAUCCCUAACUUCCGUAGCAGUAACUGGAAGAAAGAGGAACAGAGGGGGAAAGAACCGUUAAUUCUCAGAGGACAAGCAGAACUGCCUCCACCCCUGUAGUUACUUGAAAGUUCUUACUGAGAAAGGAUCGUAGCUCUACACAGAUCUCCUCUAAAAAAGUUUAUUCACUAGAUUUUGAAAAAAGAAAAAAAAAUCUUGAAACCAAGUAAAAAAAACAAAAAAAAAAAAGAAAAAGAAAAAGAAAAAGAAAAAAAGAAAAAGAAACCAAGUACAAACAUUAGAUUCUCAGGUUCUGAAUAACAAAAGAAAAAUCAUCCCCUUCUCUGGGAUUAAAUGCAGCCUGCUGUCUCAAAAUUUGGGAAGUCAUUGUCAUGGCCCUACAAGAUUUAAACUCUCCAAUGGUUUCCACUAAACUCAGAAUUAUAUACAAAAACAUUCUGCCACAACCUCAAAGGGCCUUGAGAUCUGGCUCCUCCCCGCCUCUGCAGUCUCAUUCCCACUAUGCGCAGGCACAAAGCUUUGAUUCCUUCUUUAAACUGUCAAGCUUGUCUUCACCUAUGGGUUUGCACGAUAUUUCCACUGCCUGGAUAGGGCUGGAUCACUAGGUCUUAGUUUAAAUAUAUCUCCUCAAGGAAACCUUUCACUGCCUUAUCUUUUCAUUCUUUAAGGGAAAGGAGUAAAAUUAAGGUAACUAAGAUUUACUGCGUAUCUAAGAAACAUUGGGCAAGCUUUCACGUGACUUCCACUGAAUCUUUACGGCCCAGAGAUAGAUAUUAUUCUUAUAAAUGAGGAAAGCAGAUGCAAAGAUUGAAUACUGGUCCAAGGUCACAUAGGUAAUAUAUAACAAAGCAAAGAUUCGAGCCCAAAGUUGUCAAAUCCCAAACCCACAAUCUUUCUGCUACACUAUACUGCCUCUCCGUUUAAACAGAAACCAUUUUACUGGGAGGAAAUGCUUAAUUAAAUAGAAAGCCACAAAAAGGACUGUAGUUAUUAUGUAAAGAUCUAUAAACUGGCAGUCUGGAUAAUUAACUCUGUAUUCAGAACCUUCAUCUGGUAUCUGUAUUUCUUUUAUAUUGGCAAUUAGCUAACUAGGAUCAUUAAAGGAACAACAGCUAUUUCUCCUGAGACUCAAAGAUUUCAUAAGGUAUAUUCAAAAUGCACUCUUUCUCUUCUAUGCUUUAUACAUUUGUUAUAACUGGUAAAUUAAGUAGUUAAAUUACAGAAUUUCUGAGUUUACUCCAAGGAGUUCAGCUAAUACAUACUCAAAAAUGGCAGUUUUUUGAUUUCCUUCUUUUUUUUUUUUUAAUGAAAAGGCAAGAUUUUUAACACUCUCCAAUUAAGGUUAAUAAAUUGGAACAAUAAUAAGGCAAAAUUAAUUUGAAAAAGCAAUACCCAAGUACUCUGGAAACAUAUCAUAUUUUAUCUUGGUUUCUUGCUGUUUACAUAUAUGCCUAACUUUCUCAACCAGGGCUAUAAAAUUCCAAAAGGCAGGGUCUUUGACCUAUACAUAUCUAUAAUACCUUGCUGUGGAAGACUCAAAAUAUUUUUUAAUGCCAAUUAUUAGAAAAAAGAAAUCAAUUUGCUUUUAUAUCCCCUGUGUUAGGUCUUAAAUAUGUCCACAAAUUCUUUAGUGUUCCUCCCAUUGAAACAUGAAGUCUAAGUCCGCUCCCCUCAAGGGAGAGUUGACUUAGUGACCUCCUUCUAUGGAAAAAAAUAAGGCCUAAGUGACAGUAUAUGAUUUCAAAGUCGAGGUCAUAAAGGGCACUGCAGCUUCAUCCUUGCUCCCUCUUUUGGAUUAUUCAAUAUAGGGUAAACUAGCAGCCACAUCCUGAGAACACUCAAACAGCUUACAGAAAGAUGCACACGGGUAGGGACUAAGGCUUCCUGCCAAUAAUCAGGGAAGAAGUAAAGUCUCCUAAGAACAGCCCUAUGAGUGAGCCAUCUUCCUGCCCCAAACGAGCCUUCAGAUGACUACAGCCAGGCCAACGUCUUGUCUACAAUGUCAUCAUGACACAGUGAGUCAGGAUAGCCCUGCUAACUGGCUCCUGAAUUUCUGGCCCACAAACCUGUGGGAGGGAAUAGGUAUGGAAGGAUAUACAAGAAUUUCAAACAUUUAUUGAUUGUGCGAACAAUGAUUGCCUGCCAGACGUUAUCGGAGAGCACAUCUGUACAUACAUUUGCAGACCUGUUGUGCUGAUGGGGGUAAAGCUCCAAUGCAUGUACUACUGGAGACUGGUAUCUUCAGUUGCUCCCAGUGACCUGCACUCGCCAUCCAUUCAUGGUAAAGUAGUUAAUUUUAAUGUUCUCAUUGUUUACCAGAAAGCACAGACAGGGAGGCUGGCUUUGCCGCUCCCGUUUCCUUUUGCUAGGCUGCUGUGCUUUUUCAGCCAAUUGACUUUGCUUUGAGGCUAUAAAUAUCUGAAAAAUGUUCUGCAUUUGAUGCUCUUGGAUUCUGCAUCCAUAUUUAGCUGUUUGUGGCAUGCCUUUGUUUAAGCUACUCUGCCACCCAUAACAGUCAGUCAGUCAGGUUGGGAUAUGGAUGGUCAUAGGACAGAUGGAUCGACAUUCAACAGACACUGACUAUGAGCAAGGUACCAAUCUGCUAGACACAGUGACAAUGAAGGGGCUGGCAAGAUAGGAAUACAAAGACAAACUAGACAGACUUCCUGGUGUCAAACAUUUUAUAGUCUUGACAGGGCAUGGGCACAAUUUAUUAUAAUACUAUAAUAAACAAAUGAAACAUUUUAUAACUAAAAGGAAAUGAAGGAUAGGGCAGCAUAAAUAUGUUCUCUUAGUUAUGUCUCAAAGACAUGCAUUUGUGUUCUAAAUAUACAUCUACCUAUUAUAAGGCUCUGACAUAUUCCAGACAAAGUUUUCCAAUCCUGGCAAUACACAAAACUCCAAAUAGAAGUAUCAUUAACAAAAUAGUCAACAGCAAACUUAAAACAGUGCCUAGUCUUCAAAUUUCAUGAGGCAAACUAAUAAAAUAUUGUUUUCAAAAGUUUCUGUUAAGGCAUUAGGUGGGGGCGGGGAGGGGGGGACUGUUACUGCCAUUUGUUUGUUUGUUUGCAUAUUGAUUUCAAACAUAAGUACACUAUAGAGGAUGUGAACCAUAGCCAGAAGCCAGGAGCACUUAAUACAGCUCCUUCCUUACUUUGCACUUUUAAAAUCCACAUGGCUAUUUCAGGUUAGGGCUCAAAACUAGAUGAGCUACACCUGAGCAAGACCCCAUUCCCCACCUCCCUAUCUUGUCAAAACACUUCAAACAAAUAUACAUCUGCCCUCAACAUUCCUGCUUUACAAAACUAAGUUCAUUGACCUUUUGAUAAAAGUGCUCCCCAGAAGCCCGUGACAAUCAUGAU